CCCUUAGACGUUCUGGGCCGCACGCGUGCUACACUGAGUGGAUCAGCGGGUCAGGUUGCGCGAAAGUGUUUCCUAAUCUUGAAAUCCGCUCGUGAUGGGGAUUGACGGUUGCAAUUUUCCGUCAUGAACGAGGAAUACCUUGUAAGCGCAGGUCAUCAUCCCGCGCUGAAUACGUCCCUGCCCUUUGUACACACCGCCCGUCGCUCCUACCGAUUGAGUGGUCCGGUGAGGCUUUGGGAUCUGAGCGGAAAGAGCGUUUCGCUGUUUCUGCUCGGAAAACUCAGUCGAACCUUAUCAUUUAGAGGAAGGAGAAGUCGUAACA
rnacentral:rRNA from 1 species